GAGUUUGAUCAUGGCUCAGGAUGAACGCUGGCGGCGUGCUUAAUACAUGCAAGUCGAACGAAGUAUUUUUGAAGCUUGCUUUAAAAAUGCUUAGUGGCGAACGGGUGAGUAAUACAUAAGCAACCUGCCUAUAAGACUGGGAUAACUAUUGGAAACGAUAGCUAAUACCGGAUAGGUAAAUAGAAGGCAUCUUCUAUUUAUUAAAGUUGGGUUUCCAACACUUAUAGAUGGGCUUAUGGUGUAUUAGCUAGUUGGUGAGGUAACUGCUCACCAAGGCGAUGAUACAUAGCCGGCCUGAGAGGGUGAACGGCCACAUUGGGACUGAGACACGGCCCAAACUCCUACGGGAGGCAGCAGUAAGGAAUUUUCGGCAAUGGGCGAAAGCCUGACCGAGCAACGCCGCGUGAGUGAUGAAGGCCUUCGGGUUGUAAAGCUCUGUUGUAAAGGAAGAACAGAUGAAUUAGGAAAUGAAUUCA
rnacentral:rRNA from 1 species